GAGCUGCAUAAGCAAGGCCUCUCACAACACGCCAUUGCUGCUGAGGUUGGUAAGAAAGUCAUUUGAAUCCACUGUCUGAAACUGAUGUCCACUUUUGUUAACUUCCCUUGCCAUCCAUCCCCAGAUGUUCUCAAUUGGAUUUAGAUCAGGAGAACACGCAGGAUGUUCCAAAAGAGUGACGUUAUUCUGGAACAAAGAAGUCCUUUGUAAGGCAGGCACUGUGAACUACAGCGUUGCCCUGUU